rnacentral:rRNA from 1 species
ACGCUGGCGGCAGGCCUAACACAUGCAAGUCGAGCGGUAGAGAGAAGCUUGCUUCUCUUGAGAGCGGCGGACGGGUGAGUAAUGCCUAGGAAUCUGCCUGGUAGUGGGGGAUAACGUCCGGAAACGGACGCUAAUACCGCAUACGUCCUACGGGAGAAAGCAGGGGACCUUCGGGCCUUGCGCUAUCAGAUGAGCCUAGGUCGGAUUAGCUGGUUGGUGGGGUAAUGGCUCACCAAGGCGACGAUCCGUAACUGGUCUGAGAGGAUGAUCAGUCACACUGGAACUGAGACACGGUCCAGACUCCUACGGGAGGCAGCAGUGGGGAAUAUUGGACAAUGGGCGAAAGCCUGAUCCAGCCAUGCCGCGUGUGUGAAGAAGGUCUUCGGAUUGUAAAGCACUUUAAGUUGGGAGGAAGGGCAGUAAAUUAAUACUUUGCUGUUUUGACGUUACCGACAGAAUAAGCACCGGCUAACUCUGUGCCAGCAGCCGCGGUAAUACAGAGGGUGCAAGCGUUAAUCGGAAUUACUGGGCGUAAAGCGCGCGUAGGUGGUUCGUUAAGUUGGAUGUGAAAUCCCCGGGCUCAACCUGGGAACUGCAUUCAAAACUGACGAGCUAGAGUAUGGUAGAGGGUGGUGGAAUUUCCUGUGUAGCGGUGAAAUGCGUAGAUAUAGGAAGGAACACCAGUGGCGAAGGCGACCACCUGGACUGAUACUGACACUGAGGUGCGAAAGCGUGGGGAGCAAAC